UGGGGAAUAUUGCACAAUGGAGGGAACUCUGAUGCAGCGACGCCGCGUGAGUGAUGAAGGAAUUCGUUUCGUAAAACUCUGUUCUAUGGGAAGAAAAGGACUGUACCAUAGGAGAAAGCUCCGGCUAAAUACGUGCCAGCAGCCACGGUAAUACGUAUGGAGCGAGCGUUGUCCGGAAUUAUUGGGCGUAAAGGGUGCGCAGGCGGCUUUACAAGUUGGAUGUGAAAUAUUGUGGCUCAACCACAAACGUGCAUCCAAAACUGCAAAGCUUGAGUUAAGGAGAGGUAAGUGGAAUUCCUGGUGUAGCGGUGGAAUGCGUAGAUAUCAGGAGGAAUACCGGUGGCGAAGGCGACUUACUGGACUUAAACUGACGCUCAGGCACGAAAGCGUGGGGAGCAAACAGG
rnacentral:rRNA from 1 species